rnacentral:rRNA from 1 species
AUCUAUAGCCAUACCACCCUGAACUUGCCUGACCUCUUCUGAUCUUGGAAGCUAAGCAGGGUCAGGGCUGGUUAGUACUUGGAUGGGAGAAGGAAAAAAGGUCAAAAGGAA